rnacentral:lncRNA from 1 species
CUGAGGGAUCCACCUAAGAGCCAAUCAAAGGCACAAACAUCAGACGAAGGGGCGGGAUCGCCACAGGGACCCUCUUCGGAGGUCAGAGCUCGGCGGGGUGCGGCUAGUGGCGGAGCGCGCUGCGAGGGGAGGGCUUUCCACUGUCGCUGGCGUGAACUCGCGUGCCCGGUGGGUAUCAGGGAAGAACCCCCGCCCCGGACCCCCAGAUCUGCCAUGGCCGAGGUAGCGAUCGUCUCUGCGGCCACGAAGACUGUUUUAACUUGUACCACUUUCCCUUCCAUUUUUCCUGGGGUGCCUCUCACCCUGCAUCUGCGCGUUCAGCAAGCUGGAUUUCGGGAAUGCUCAGUUCAGAAGAGAAAAAAUUGCCGGGAAUCAAGUCCUUCUUUUUGUUAGUCGGUAGUCGAUUGAUGGGAAGUGUUCAAAAUCAUUCGAUGUGGUGACAAGGCUUCACCAGGUACUGCCUUCUAACGAGCUGGCCAUUUCCACAUGUCAGAUAGGACCAACUUGCCUUUUAACUACCCGUGUGAUACUUAAACACUGUUGCCGGUAUCACAGCUUUUCUUCAAAACAGGAAGCAACGAGAAUGAGGGCAUUCCAGUAGCAGGAGACAGCAUGCAUAGAGAUGCUGAUGAAGAAAGAGCCUAGCGCACGUGGGAAACUGCAAAAGUUCAGACUGGUUGGAAUGCUGGAAAUGUUGUGAAUGACAGGAGAUGAGGCUGGCGAGAAAACAGAGGUCAGAUUGUGGAAGGCUGUCAAGCCAAAGACUUUGAUUUUAUUCUUGAGAUUGAUGAGAUGUGUGUAAUCCAGGAGUGUGCAAAACAAUCUGUAAGGGUUCAGAAAACAUACUGCUUCUAUAUAUAGUUACCUUUGUCUUAACUUGAAAAUUUCAAAUUGUGUAGGAGUUACAAUGUGUGUAAUUGUUAUUAUAGUACUGGAUCCAAAUAAUUUAUAAAUAAAUAAAUAUAGACAUAAUAUGGUGUAUUAC